rnacentral:antisense_RNA from 2 species
CUCAAUGGCGGCUAUGCGCAGGGCGCUUUCGAGCGCGCCGGUUUAGCUAGGAGGCCGGUCGACUAACCUGCGUAUAGCUGCCACCCAA